rnacentral:rRNA from 1 species
UAGGGAAUCUUCGGCAAUGGACGGAAGUCUGACCGAGCAACGCCGCGUGAGUGAAGAAGGUUUUCGGAUCGUAAAGCUCUGUUGUAAGAGAAGAACGAGUGUGAGAGUGGAAAGUUCACACUGUGACGGUAUCUUACCAGAAAGGGACGGCUAACUACGUGCCAGCAGCCGCGGUAAUACGUAGGUCCCGAGCGUUGUCCGGAUUUAUUGGGCGUAAAGCGAGCGCAGGCGGUUAGAUAAGUCUGAAGUUAAAGGCUGUGGCUUAACCAUAGUACGCUUUGGAAACUGUUUAACUUGAGUGCAAGAGGGGAGAGUGGAAUUCCAUGUGUAGCGGUGAAAUGCGUAGAUAUAUGGAGGAACACCGGUGGCGAAAGCGGCUCUCUGGCUUGUAACUGACGCUGAGGCUCGAAAGCGCGGGGAGCAAACAGGAUUAGAUACCCUGGUAGUCCACGCCGUAAACGAUGAGUGCUAGGUGUUAGACCCUUUCCGGGGUUUAGUGCCGCAGCUAACGCAUUAAGCACUCCGCCUGGGGAGUACGACCGCAAGGUUG